UACGUAGGGUGCAAGCGUUGUCCGGAAUUAUUGGGCGUAAAGAGCUCGUAGGCGGUUUGUCGCGUCGAAUGUGAAAACCCGGGGCUCAACCCCGGGCCUGCAUUCGAUACAGGCAGACUAGAGUUCGGUAGGGGAGUCUGGAAUUCCUGGUGUAGCGGUGAAAUGCGCAGAUAUCAGGAGGAACACCGGUGGCGAAGGCGGGACUCUGGGCCGAUACUGACGCUGAGGAGCGAAAGCGUGGGGAGCGAACAGG
rnacentral:rRNA from 1 species